AUGGCGUCCGGCAAUGCUGCUACUCCUGCAUUCAGCUACGAGCCCUCACCAUGGAUUGACUUCUUUGCUGGAUAUGAGCCACCGCCGUUACAUAUCUACUACUCCGGCCUACGCUGGGCCAGCCCAAGAGGUGCCAAAAUGUACACCAUGCACCCACCACUUGCGGGCCCAAGUAGGAACACAUUUCUAAUUACCAUCCGUGCUCCUCUAGAGAUCCAUGUCAACCGGUUGCUUAUCAAAUCCAAGCAGUGGAUGACGCUUAGGGCAAAAAAACUGAAGGAAGACAUAUUUUCGCUUGCUGAGGGAACAUGGAUACUAUGUAUCUCCAGGACACUAUUAUGUCUAUACAAUGCAUCUCAUCUUCUAAAUCAUGGUGAGCCAGCACUUGAAGAAGCCAUAGCUUUUGCAAGGCAUCAUCUUGAGUCAUGUAGUGGUAGUUUAAAGACCCCACUUGCUCAACAAGUCCAACGUGCCCUUCAGAUACCAAUGCCAAGGACAAAUAAGAGGGUGGAAAUGCUACAUUAUAUCCUAGAGUACGAACAAGAGGAGCAUAACCCAAUCCUACUGGAGCUUGCCAAAUUGGAUUUCAACCUUCAGCAAAAUGUCCACUUGAAGGAGCUCAAAGCUAUUACCAGGUGGUGGAAGCAUUUUUUCGGAUAUAUCGAGCUAAGCUUUAUCCGCGAUCGUGUGGUGGAGGGUUAUACAUGGGCCUCUGUGUUGUACUAUGACACAAAAUUUGAGCUCACUCGAAGUAUGAUCACAAAGAUGAUUGUACUAAUUACCACAUUAGAUGACAUAUAUGAUAACCAUGCCACCCUAGAGGACAGUUGGAAGCUACAUGAAGCAAUACAAAGCCAUGGAAUGGAAAACAGGCGGUGCAGAUUACUUCUUUAUCCUCCAGACAACUUUCUUCUUCUCCAUCCAACCGCCAGAUGGACCACCGGCCGAACCGUCGACCACCACCACCCGCGGCCAGCGGCGCUCCUGCUCAGCCUCACCGCCCCGCCCACCCCUCAUCCUCCUACCACCGACAUGCUGCUGCCCCUGGCCAUCCCUCCAGCCCCGGCAAUGACCAGUUUUUUCUCCGGCGAACUUGCACCACCGCCGUGCUGCCACCCCUACCUCCCCCCUUCAUCAACGAUAGAUGAUGGGGUAGCCUCCUAG
rnacentral:rRNA from 1 species